UACGAAGGGGGCUAGCGUUGCUCGGAAUCACUGGGCGUAAAGCGCACGUAGGCGGCUUACUAAGUCAGGGGUGAAAUCCUGGAGCUCAACUCCAGAACUGCCUUUGAUACUGGUGAGCUUGAGUCCGGAAGAGGUGAGUGGAACUGCGAGUGUAGAGGUGAAAUUCGUAGAUAUUCGCAAGAACACCAGUGGCGAAGGCGGCUCACUGGCCCGUUACUGACGCUGAGGCACGAAAGCGUGGGGAGCAAACAGG
rnacentral:rRNA from 1 species